rnacentral:tRNA from 1 species
GCCGAUGUGGUGGAAUUGGUAGACACGCUGUCUUGAGGGGGCAGUGACGUAAGUCGUGCCGGUUCGAGUCCGGCCAUCGGCACCA